UGGCUGAGCGGUAAAGCGCUUGGCUUCAGAAUCCGGUGUCCCGGGUUCGAAUCCUGG
rnacentral:tRNA from 1 species